AUUGAACGCUGGCGGCAGGCCUAACACAUGCAAGUCGAGCGGAUGAAGGGAGCUUGCUCCUGGAUUCAGCGGCGGACGGGUGAGUAAUGCCUAGGAAUCUGCCUGGUAGUGGGGGAUAACGUCCGGAAACGGGCGCUAAUACCGCAUACGUCCUGAGGGAGAAAGUGGGGGAUCUUCGGACCUCACGCUAUCAUAUGAGCCUAGGUCGGAUUAGCUAGUUGGUGGGGUAAAGGCCUACCAAGCCGACGAUCCGUAACUGGUCUGAGCGGAUGAUCAGUCACACUGGAACUGAGACACGGUCCAGACUCCUACGGGAGGCAGCAGUGGGGAAUAUUGGACAAUGGGCGAAAGCCUGAUCCAGCCAUGCCGCGUGUGUGAAGAAGGUCUUCGGAUUGUAAAGCACUUUAAGUUGGGAGGAAGGGCAGUAAGUUAAUACCUUGCUGUUUUGACGUUACCAACAGAAUAAGCACCGGCUAACUUCGUG
rnacentral:rRNA from 1 species